GUAUACCUCUUAGUACAUUACAUAUAUUAAAGCUUAAAAACAUCCCCAAACAACAUUUAGGUAUAAUUUAAUCAGAUUAUGGUAGAUUCCGGUGGAUUCCGGUAAUAAGGGGAUUCCGGUAAUUCUAUGGACCGGCAGAAAUACGAAAUGGCAAAUCAUGCAAGAUUGAUAAAUAUCUUCUUCUAUUUGUUUGUUUGAAAAAUAUGUUGAAAAUUAUUUUUUUUAAACCAGAGACGGCAGUUCAGAUGCAGUCGUCCUGUGUGUCAGAAAGCUGGUGAUCAAAAUGGUUGAAGGUAGUACCCAAGAAAGUACAUUUACAAAGUUGUGAGGAGUAACCUAGCCUAUAUAACCUGAAGCCUACCCAAUAUGCAGUGUGUUCUGCUCUGUCAAUAACAACUCUGUAUGGCUGGUCUGACCUCAGUGGAAGUUGUUCGUUUAAAUGGUUUCGGGACAUUGAAGUAAAACAACACGAGAAUGUCCCACCAAGAGUGAAGGGCUGCCUGUUUGCUUCAUAUUCUCAGUCCUCCUCGCUGAUGAUUUCUGAAGUCCUUACGCAGUCACCCCAGUCUUCAACCUCGAUGAGAUGCCAUACACAGGGGAUCCGACAGAAGACAGCAGACAGAAUUCGUCAAUGUAUUUGAAAUGUCAUUGUUUAUUUGAAAAAAGUUAC